CGGAGGGUGCAAGCGUUGUCCGGAUUUAUUGGGUUUAAAGGGUGCGUAGGCGGCUAUUUAAGUCAGUGGUGAAAUCCUGCAGCACAACUGUAGAACAGCCAUUGAUACUGAAUAGCUUGAGUACAGACGAGGUAGGCGGAAUUUAUGGUGUAGCGGUGAAAUGCAUAGAUACCAUAAAGAACCCCUAUUGCGAAGGCAGCUUACUAGGCUGUAACUGACGCUGAGGCACGAAAGCGUGGGGAUCAAACAGGAUUAGAUACCCUGGUAGUCCACGCCGUAAACGAUGAUUACUCGAUGUUCGCGAUAUACAGUGAGCGUCCAAGCGAAAGCGUUAAGUAAUCCACCUGGGAAGUACGAUCGCAAGAUUG
rnacentral:rRNA from 1 species